rnacentral:rRNA from 1 species
UGGGGAAUCUUGCACAAUGGGGGCAACCCUGAUGCAGCGACGCCGCGUGAGCGAUGAAGCCCUUCGGGGUGUAAAGCUCUUUCGGCAGGAACGAUAAUGACGGUACCUGCAGAAGAAGCUGCGGCUAACUACGUGCCAGCAGCCGCGGUAAUACGUAGGCAGCAAGCGUUGUUCGGAGUUACUGGGCGUAAAGAGUGCGUAGGUGGUUCUCUAAGUUCGGUGUGAAAUCUCCCGGCUCAACUGGGAGGGUGCGCCGAAAACUGGAGAGCUUGAGUAUGGGAGAGGAGAGCGGAAUUCCUGGUGUAGCGGUGAAAUGCGUAGAUAUCAGGAGGAACACCUGUGGUGCAGACGGCUCUCUGGACCAUCACUGACACUGAGGCACGAAAGCGUGGGGAGCAAACAGG